AGGGAAUCUUCCGCAAUGGACGAAAGUCUGACGGAGCAACGCCGCGUGAGUGAUGAAGGUUUUCGGAUCGUAAAACUCUGUUGUUAGGGAAGAACAAGUACCGUUCGAAUAGGGCGGCACCUUGCCGGUACCUCACCAGAAAGCCACGGCUAACUACGUGCCAGCAGCCGCGGUAAUACGUAGGUGGCAAGCGUUGUCCGGAAUUAUUGGGCGUAAAGCGCGCGCAGGCGGUUUCUUAAGUCUGAUGUGAAAGCCCCCGGCUCAACCGGGGAGGGUCAUUGGAAACUGGGGAACUUGAGUGCAGAAGAGGAGAGUGGAAUUCCACGUGUAGCGGUGAAAUGCGUAGAGAUGUGGAGGAACACCAGUGGCGAAGGCGACUCUCUGGGCUGUAACUGACGCUGAGGCGCGAAAGCGUGGGGAGCAAAC
rnacentral:rRNA from 1 species